UAUCUGCAUCAGCAAAGCAGAUAAUCUCAGCCUCUCUUCAUCUGGAAAAGGUGCAGAGGAAGAGCACUAGCAGACAGUUUGUAGUUAAGGAUUACUGUGAAGUUCUCGAGGUAGGAGACAACAGUCAGGCCUCCUGCCUCGUCUCCUUGACUUCUUACACGUGGGAAUGGACCAGUCUUGAGUUUGGAGGAGGCAGUCCUUGAAAAUCAGCCAGCUCUCCUGGACUCCUCCUCUCUCCAAGAUGAUAUCCCAUGGGAUUGCAACUGCCCUUCUGUGUUGUCCCUCCUGCAGAUAUCAGCAUUGUCAGAGUCUUCCAUGAGGACCAGGGCCAGUAAACAAGACAUUUUUUCCAGUCGUCCAGCAGAGGCCUGAUGAUCUGCUGCUUCUUUUUUAUCACACAGUCCAUAGCAGAUACCCACACCAAUGUCACCCGCGGUGGUCUGCCAGCCAGCCUAGACCCAUACGCUCUCAUCUGGGUCAUGGCAGAGCUCCAUGCAUCCCUGCUUCUCUCUAAUACAGGACAACUGUCCCUGCUCGUCAUCCCAGGCUAUCCUUCCCAAAAAGCCUGUACAAAGCCACUGCAGCACUCUAGUCAUGUGAGUGUGAUUUGCCAUUACUUUGAGAUUUCUAAAAAUCCUCGCUUCAUCCACUGAAGAAUUCGAAGGAACACUGAUGGAGGAAUGAUGGCAAUGGGAUCACCUGCGUGCAUCAGCUGCAUGGAAACACCCAGGUGUGUACAGGGAGAUCAAACCGAGUCCUAUGCACAUUUGAUCUAAUGCAUGAGCAGGUUUUGCUCCCAAUCCUGAACCACUUUGAACAGUGACCAUACACUUUCUUUUUCACCUAACCUCUAGAAGAAGAUCCCUGCUCAGCCAAGCUGGCCUUCUACCCCAGCUGCAUGACUUUGGACAUUAUGGAAUUGCUUGGUAAGAGGUGGUACAAAAAAGUGACCAGCACUGCUGGAUCCUUAUGCCUUCAGAAGCAGUUUUCAUAGAAAACUUGCCAAAUAGUUCCCUGAGCAGCAUGAAGUCUGCUUUCCCCAUAUCCAGUGUUAACGUGGCACUUUUUCUCCUAUCACCAAAGAUUGUAUGUUCACCAAUCUCAUGGUCACUAUGGCCAAGACAGGCUCCAGUCACCAUUUCACCCGUGAGACCUUCUCUGCUUACAAGCAACAAAUCUAGGAGGACACCUUUCCUAGUUGACUCCCUUGGUAUCUGUAACAAGAAGUACUACCAAAGACAUAAAAAUAUUUGUCCCUCUGAAAGAUCUCAGUCUUAUCCAUGAAAUCUCUCUCUUUGUUGUACUGGUCUGAAGCACAGACUGAUACUGAACGUUUCAGGAACUCCUCCAACCUUUGUGAAACAGUUAAAUUUACUUUGUGCAGAAUAUAAAUGGCAUCAAUUUUGAAAGGUCAAGGUAUGAAAUAUUAUGUUAUUGCAAUACAUUUACUGUACCCACUAACUCUCACCAUCUGUACAUCACAGACAUCACUGAACUACCACAUUUUCUCUGAAAAAAAAAAAAGAAGAAAGGUCUUCAGAAAGCAGUAUUCUCUCAGAAUCUUGCAAUCCUUUGAAGUUUGUUCUCUUUCCAAGGAACAGUUAUAAAAGAGGUUAAAUUUCUCAUCCAGGAUAAACGAGAUUCAAGGUUAAAUCUCAAGAAGGUUUGAUCAACCUCACCCCCUUACCAAGGGAAUUUAUUAUCACCAUGUCUCAAACAAGUCAGAGUGAACCUCAAUUAGCCAUCUUAACUGUCUCCACUUUGCAAAUCGUAAUUCAGGAGGAGUUCAAAGCCUGGAAAGAUCUGAACAGUCCUAAGUCCAUUCAGCUGUUUCAUACAGUAUGCAAAAAUGUGAAGAAGAAACUACAAAACCUGGACUCAACUCUCCCAGCACCACCACCUUUGAAGAUGAAAGAAACAAGUUUGAAUGCAACAGUGAAUGCUCCACAUCAUUAAAUUGCACUGGCUCUUCCUCUUACCUUCAUUAGGGAUUUAUGAGAAAGGGAGACUCCAGUUUCAGGAGAGAGGUACUGACAUUGGAGAACCUUAAUGAGUGAGAUUCGUGCUUAUUUGGGAUUUCUUACCACCACUGUGUGUUGAAGGUGGGUCCCAUGGACCCCACUCUUGCAUACCUCACUCUCCAUAUACAGAGCACAACUGCCUAACUGUUGAAGUCUCUGCAUUGAAAAAAUGGUCCCUGAAAAUUCUUCAGUUGAUGGUGGACUCCCAGAGCAUAGUGAUGCACUGGAACAGGUUGCCCAAUGAGGUUGUGGAUGCCCCAUCCCUGGAUGCAUUCAAGGCCAGGCUGGAUGUGGCUCUGGGCAGCCUGGUCUGGUGGUUGGCGACCCUGCACAUCGCAGGGGGGUUAAAACUCGAUGAUCAUUGUUUUCAACCCAGGCCAUUCUAUGAUAUGAUUCUAUGACUCUGGUACAGAGAAUAAAAGAAAAUAAGCAUUUAAAAAAAAAUAGAUUUCCUUCCUUGCCUCUAAAAUUAUCAAUCUUACUGAUCUAAUGGGAUAUAAUAAUGCCAGUGUGCAACUGGACAGUUCAAGAAUUUUUCUGGGAAAGUUAUACUUCUGGGACUUGCAUAAAUGUUUUUGCAUUCAAAAAAACAUGGAGCUGAGGAAGUAUUUUGGACUGAAAACCAGUAUUUCCCAUACACAGAAUAAGUCAUAGAGACUCUCUUAGCCAGAUGCAAAACAAGCAAAAUAUAUCAGCUGGGAAACUUGUUUGAACUGACAAGUUAAGGUAAAAGAUGCUUGUGUUUGUUGUCUUCUGAACACAAUAAAAGUCUUUCAGUUUCAUGUGA